AAGGAGUUUACUUUUGCCCUGCACCGCUUUUUGUGGUGUGCGUAGUUCUGCGCCGUGUGUGUGCAGCGCGUAUGGGGCUGGGUGGAACAUCAAUAAAAGAUGAGUGGCUUUCUGGUUGUCCGUUUGAGUACGCCCUGUUGUGGGGUUGGAAAGACGUGCGGUUGGGGGUUGCUUGUUGUGGGCACACUAUUGGGGUGUGAGGCUGCACGCGUGAGCGUUUUGGUCUUGUCCUCCCUGUUGCUGCUGACUGUGGUUGGUGGUGGUGGGUGUGGGGGUGUUGUUUGUCAACUGCAUAGUGGACGCGAGCAUCUUGUAAGCAAUUUUUUGUUACAGAUAGUUCAAUGAUUUUUGGUCUAUGUGUUCAUUUUCGAGUGUUU
rnacentral:misc_RNA from 1 species